ACUUUUCCAACUCGCCAUGAGAUAAGAUGUACUUCUCCCCCUGCAAAGCUAAGAUAAACUAGGUCAGAAUUUAACAAGCAUAUUAACCGAAUUGAAAGGAGCACUUGCACAAUUAUAAUAUCAGAAACUUUUCCUUUCUGAACAAGACCCUUUACUCCUAUUUCAAGCUUCAGUGAUUGCAUAGCACAGGAGCAUCAACAUAGGUCAGGUGUGAAGCUUGAGUUUGUUUGACAUAGACUUAUCUUAUUUGACAAACUUGUAAAUUAGUUUGUGGUUACUCUUGGUAAAGCUUACAACAAAUAUCUUUUAUGUCAUUUUAUGUUGAUCAGUUAGCUCGCUUACUAAUUUUAACAACCACUUGAAUAUCAAUCAACUAGCUUUUCAUUUAUAAACUUUCAACUAUAGUCUAUUAGCUACUAGUUUAACUUAUAAACUACUUAAACUAUUGCCAAAUAGAUACUACAGAAUAGAGUGUGAAUAAACUGAACCAAGUCACACCCUUGACUCAUUUAUGGGAACCAAUCAUUUCAUUGUUCAUAAAAAAAAAAAACCGUAGAGUAGAUUGUUGUAUUGAAUUAAAAUGCACUAUUAAGCUAUUAACUAAUUAGAUAUUAGACGACUUUCAAUAUAAACCUAAAUUAGUAUAUUAUUUAAUGCUGCCCCUGACAAGAGUCUAAAAGUUGUUACAUGUGCCUAUGAAUGCAACUGGGUUACCAUGUCAUUCUUUCCAAAUUACUAUUUUAGUAUGUGAAGCUAUCAAUGAAAAAUCAAUGCAAUGCUGAACAAGAGCUCAGCUGAAAUUCUGAAACAUACCUUUCGCCUAUCCUCUCUUGCGCUUAAGUUGCUUCAUAUGUUCCACGAUAUAAGUAAUAACUUCUUUUAG
rnacentral:lncRNA from 1 species